GUGCUCGCCUGGGCAGCACACAUACUAAAGGGGCACGAGACAGGGAUGAUUUGCAUGGCCCCCUGUAAAGGAUGACAUGCAAAUUUGUGAAGCGUUCUGUAGUUUU